rnacentral:lncRNA from 1 species
ACAAACAAGGCAAUGUGGGUCAUGCCCUCAGUUUCCUCCAGAGUACUCCUCCCCCAAGACCCACUUUCCCUUUUUUUUUCUUCUUAUUUUCUUGUUUCUUUGGGCUUUCGUUUUUGUAACUUUCAAGGUAGGACAAGAAUACCCAUCAAGGACCUUGGAAAGAAGAAAGAUAAGCAGAGAGGAGAGAGAGAGAGGGAGAUGUUGAAUAUGGGGCAAUGUGUUUUUGCUAUUUCUUUUGCUCCUAUGAAUCUAUGAUCCACUAAUUGCUGCCUUUGAGAUGUCUUGAAGAUGGAGGUGAGAGAAAUCCAUCUUUUUUCUCACUUUUUGUGUUCUUCUGAUGCAAGGAUUGUGGAUUGUGGUGGUGGUGGUGGUGGUGGUGGAGGAGGAGAUGCUAUGAGAGAGUGUAUUAUGAUGUUAGCGGUGUUUUUUUUCUUUUGGUUUUGUGGGGGUUGGGCUUUUUGUGAAAAAACCCACUUUCAAGGUCAAAGAAGAAGCUCUGUUCUUCCUCCUCUGUUUCAUUGACUUUUAAUGUAGUGGUGGUGGUUGGUGGUGGUGUGAUAUUGGCUGGAAGGCUCAAUCUAAUAUAUAUUUUGUGAUAUAUAUUAAACUUUUUCUCUUUGCACAUAUUGUUUCUCAUUUGGUGUGUUCAAACAAAGGCACUUCUACAACAGGUUUGCUUCUCUCUGUCUCUCUCUCUCUCUCUCUUGUUAUUGAUUUUACUUUUGUGGCUUCUACAAUGAAAUGUAAUCCUUCUAAAGCAAAAACCCAAUUUUUGUUUUUGUUUUUGUUUUUGUUUUUGAUGAAGAGAUGAAUGAGAGAGAAACCAAUUUAUCCUUUGGCAUUUCAUUAAAUAGGGACUUAAAAG